rnacentral:lncRNA from 1 species
CUUUAGCAAUGACAGCUUCUCCGUACACUUUAGGACCAUGGCUUUCCACCUACAAGUCCCCACAAGCACUUUUUAAAAAAUGAAAUUAAAGAAAAUAUCAGAGUGCAUCCAACAGAGUAAGUAUUAUUUCAUGAAACUUUUGAUUCAGUGACAUGUGUGUAUGAGUCUGGGUGGUAAUGUCAGAUGUAUUUCUUACUGAGAUUUUAAAAGUUAAACUUUAAACGUUUAAAGGAAAACAUCUGUUCAUCAAAUAUUAAGUAUGAUCAGAAACUGUAUCUUGUUCUAGGGUAAAGAAAAGAGCAAGACUUGGCUCCUUCACUUAGGAAGCUGUGAAUCUGGGGGCGAAAAGACAAACAUACCGCUAGGACAGGAUGUGAAAACCACACUGACAAAGUGGCGUCAGGGUGCCUGGAGUUGGGAGGAGGAGCCAGCACCUUCCAGGAACCCCAGUGCCCCUGGAGGAGGUGGUGUGUGGGCUGGUCCUGAAGCGGGCUGCAGGAGGAAGCGUGUUCUCGGAGGGGAUGGGGGCGUGGAUGGACAGCUGUAGCCUGGUGUGGGAAUCCAGGGCAAGGGGCUGCUGGACCAGGCUUGGGCAGAGGUGCCAGGAGGGACACAGGGGCAAUGAUGACAGGGAGGAAACGAUCAAAGCGGACCAGAUAUUGACUUUAUCUUGUGGGAGAUGUGGGAGAUAUAUAUGUGUGUGUGUGUGUAUACACCACACACACACACACACACACACACACACACACACACACAGUGGCACAAUCUCAGCUCACUGCAACCUCCGCCUUCCAGAUUCAAGCAAUUCUGCUGCCUCAGCCUCUCCCGAGUAGCUGGGAUUACAGGCACCUGCCACUAUACCCGGCUAAUUUUUGUACUUUUAGUAGAGGCAGGGUUUCACCAUGUUGGCCAGGCAGGUCAGACAUGUGUGAUAUUUUUUGUUGUUUCAAAAGGGGAUGACAAUGGGAGGCAGCGACUUGAGGGCCAAAUGUUGCAUUUGUCCUCGUUUCAAGGAUUUUUUGGGUUUAUCUGAACAUUCGUCCUGAUUAAAACUUAGGAUGCCGUGAAGCAGUGGUCUGAUAGGAAUUCUCCAUGUUUUCAUUUUGUUCAUGUUUCCUGCUUGCCCUCCAGCUAGACCCAGCGUUGGUAUGUGGCCACCUUCCUUUCCCACAAAGCCUUUUUGCUUUCCUAUUUUUUCUCAUUAUCCCCACUGUGCACCAACUCCAGCUGCGGAAGGGACCCAGAAGGGGAGAAGUGUUUUCUUCUAACACCUCUCCUCACCCCUGGGGGCUACAGGCAAGCUGGCUUUAGAAAGAGACAGCAGGGCUGAGAACUUGCUUUUCAGCUCAGCAAACAGGGAGUGGCUUAGAAAGUAGAGACAAAAGAGAAAAGCAAAAACAACUAAAGGAGCAAACGUUUUGUGCAAAAACAUUUUUUAGUCGCAGAUCCAGAAUAUAGAGUCUGCCUUCUCCUAGGUAAUCUCUUGGAGCCCAGUAAUUGAAAGGGGUGGCAAAUAUCCAAUAUCUAAAUGUAGCUGUCUAAGGGCUAAAGUUAGGGACUGGAAUUUACCAACCUCACCCCAGCCUCAUUGUGGACUUCUUCCUUCCAUGAUGUUCGCCUUGACUUGGAACUCUUAUAUUAAGAGUCAUCCAGCAGCGUGACGGACGUCCUUCUGUGUUGUUCGUUCCCAUGCAGAAGCCGGUCUCCUUUGCUCUUAACACGCCAAGCCCCUUUUAACCCUUUGCCCCAAGUGUCUUCUGCUCUCCGGAAUUCUCUGUCUCCUUUUCUAUACCUACCUAAAAUCCUAUAUCCUCCAAGAAAGCAGCCCACACAGAGUGCCCAGAAUUCCUAAAAUCUUUUUGGUCUUUAAAUCUUUUUGUUUUGUUUUGUUUUUGAGACAGAGUCUCGCA